rnacentral:rRNA from 1 species
GGGUAUGUGGGGUAGGGGAGCGUUCUGUAAGCCGUUGAAGGUGGUCUGUAAGGGCUGCUGGAGGUAUCAGAAGUGCGAAUGCUGACAUGAGUAACGAUAAAGGGAGUGAAAAACUCCCUCGCCGGAAGACCAAGGGUUCCUGUCCAACGUUAAUCGGGGCAGGGUAAGUCGACUCCUAAGGCGAGGCCGAAAGGCGUAGUCGAUGGGAAACGGGUUAAUAUUCCCGUACUUCUUACAAUUGCGAUGGGGGGACGGAGAAGGCUAGGUGGGCCUGGCGACGGUUGUCCAGGUUCAAGUACGUAGGCGGAAAGUUUAGGUAAAUCCGGACUUUCUUAACGCUGAGAUACGAUGUCGAGCUACUACGGUAGUGAAGUCAUUGAUGCCAUGCUUCCAGGAAAAGCCUCUAAGCUUCAGAUUGUAAGGAAUCGUACCCCAAACCGACACAGGUGGUCGGGUAGAGAAUACCAAGGCGCUUGAGAGAACUCGGGUGAAGGAACUAGGCAAAAUGGUACCGUAACUUCGGGAGAAGGUACGCUCUUAUCAGUGAAGUCCCUUGCGGAUGGAGCAGACGAGAGUCGCAGAUACCAGGUGGCUGCAACUGUUUAUUAAAAACACAGCACUGUGCAAAAUC